rnacentral:lncRNA from 1 species
GCUUUCUUUGCCACGUUUAAUACGUGGGUGGUCCAUUUGAGGUCUUCCGAAAUUUGUAGGCCUAGGUACGGGUUAUGCUUGACUUGUUGUAGUAUGUGUCCAUUUAAACUAGAUUUUAUGGCUUUUGUUUCUGAUGCUUAGGAUGUAGCAUUUUUUAGCAUUGAACCGCAUUCCCCAGUACAUCCACAAUGUACAAGCUUCUGACAAAAUAAU